AAACAAGAUUUAUCAUGAGAAGUCAGCAGAUGUCAUAGUACCAGUUUAGUCAUGAAUAAACUGGGAAGGAC
rnacentral:ncRNA from 1 species